rnacentral:rRNA from 1 species
GACGAACGCUGGCGGCGUGCUUAACACAUGCAAGUCGAACGGAAAGGCCCUGCUCUUGCGGGUUGCUCGAGUGGCGAACGGGGGAGUAACACGUGAGUAACCUGCCCUUGACUUUGGGAUAACUUCAGGAAACUGGGGCUCUUACCGGAUAGGAGCUCCUGCUGCACGGGGGGGGUUGGUAAGUUUCGGCGGUAGGGGAUGGACUCGCGGCUUAUCAGCUGGUUGGUGGGGUAGUGGCUUACCAAGGCUUUGACGGCUAGCCGGCCUGAGAGGGUGACCGGCCACAUUGGGACUGAGAUACGGCACAGACUCCUACGGGAGGCAGCAGUGGGGAAUAUUGCACAAUGGGCGGAAGCCUGAGACAGCAACGCCCCGUGCGGGAUGACGGCCUUCGAGUUGUAAACCGCUUUCGCCUGAGACGAAGAGUGAGUGACGGUAAUGAGUAAAGAAGCAACGGCUAACUACGUG